AUGAACGCUGGCGGCGUGCCUAAUACAUGCCAGUCGAGCGAACAGAUCAGGAGCUUGCUCCUUUGAAGUUAGCGGCGGACGGGUGAGUAACACGUGGGUAACCUACCUAUAAGACUGGGAUAACUUCGGGAAACCGGAGCUAAUACCGGAUAACAUUUAGAACCGCAUGGUUCUAAAGUGAAAGAUGGUUUUGCUAUCACUUAUAGAUGGACCCGCGCCGUAUUAGCUAGUUGGUAAGGUAACGGCUUACCAAGGCGACGAUACGUAGCCGACCUGAGAGGGUGAUCGGCCACACUGGAACUGAGACACGGUCCAGACUCCUACGGGAGGCAGCAGUAGGGAAUCUUCCGCAAUGGGCGAAAGCCUGACGGAGCAACGCCGCGUGAGUGAUGAAGGGUUUCGGCUCGUAAAACUCUGUUAUUAGGGAAGAACAAAUGUGUAAGUAACUGUGCACAUCUUGACGGUACCUAAUCAGAAAGCCACGGCUAACUACGUG
rnacentral:rRNA from 1 species